AGCAACGCCAUGGACAGCUGGGGACAAAAGUUGCUGUUUCCGAGGAGAAGACAUUUGUUUGCUCCUUUUUUGAAUCUCAUAUCCAGUGUUUUUCUUCACAGGUUUUGCACAGUAGGGACCAGGAAGCCCUCGGGACACUGCCGAGAAAGGACUGCUCGAGGGAAGACCUGUGGGGAUCAUGGGAUCUAUUCCAGAGGAAACUAACCAACAAUGAACAACUUCUACUAAAACUACCCCUGGAUGUGAUGGUUGCAUGCAUCAUUCCUUUAAUUGAGCAGAGUUAACUGGAUCAAAUUAUUUAUGGGAGAGAGAGGGAAAGCUAUACAGAAUUACAAUAAUUUUAUAUUUCCACCAAUAUACUCUUUACUGAUUGUAUCUGCCCAUGAGCAAAGGAAACCUGAAGGAACCAAGGGCCUGGCUGGACGGAGUUGUCAUGUGUCU